CUCCCCCGCCCCUGCUCCCCCAGACCUUUCCCCGAGGGCGGCCGGCAGCCGGGGCCGCCCCUCCUUGGCCAGGAAAGGGAAAGCGAAAGCGGUGAGCGCUGUCACUCGGAGCGGGGCCGCGGCCGGAGCGGGGCUGGGGGCGGCGGCCCCGGCAGGCAGACCUGAGGUCUUGGCCUUCACUGCUGCUCUAGUACCAAAGCCAGUGGUUCUGCUGACAGAACAGCCACAGCAGGGACUUGCUGUACAGGACUUUGCAGCACAGCCUUGCUCUGAGUCGGGUCUGACCCGCAGAUGAUGGCAAAUACAAACUCACUACCAGCACCAGGGCUCCCCUUCCCUGCCAUGGAGGAUUCCACCCACCAGCUGCACUUGGAAGAGGCUGGGGGGUAGAGCAAACUAAAUUCUUUGUGCUUUCAUGAGUCAUGAAAAAACCCCUCCAACUGUCUCAACAGUGCAUCUGUUUGGGUGUUUUCAAGGAAGCUGGAAUGCAUCCUCAGAGCUCUUCCAUGAGAAAAAGUAAACAUGUCAUAUAUAAAACAUUUUAUUAAACAACAUUUUAUACAACACUUUAUAUACAAAAAUAAAAUGUACAUGAAAAAUAAUCUUUUCCAGCUUAGUGAUUUGAUUCCUAUCUAUUACACACACACAUUAGAACCUCUUCCAUCCAGCACUUGCCUGCAUAUGCUGAUCCAGAAGAUCUGUGGGAUGUUAUAGCUGGUGUGCAGUACUGGAGGAAUCCCCACAGAGUGCCAGAAGGAAUCUACAAAAGGCAUGGUAAAAAUAAAGAGCUCUGCCCCUAUCAGUGCAAAAUUGUUUCAUGCAGCAGCUCUUGAACUCUUCUGGGGAAAGGGAUCGGGCAUGUCUAUGGCAGAGAGCAUCCUAGGAGUGCACCUGGGGAAUGGACUAGGUGGAAGCAAAGCCUAAACUGAAUCUUCACAUUUUAGUGGUCUAUUUACAGAGUUGAAGGGUCUGAAAGGUGAACUAUAUGAUGGAGUAAAUCAAAGAAGAGAUGGCCCAUUAGCGUAAUUUUUCUCCAGAAGUGUAAUGACAGUUAAGCUCAACGUCACCAGUGUUGCACAGGUAAGCAGCAAUCAAAACUAACAGUCAGAGACUUGUCUGCAGUGUCUCCUGUAAGCACUCUGUGGGUAAAGUGCUCGUCACAGCACACAUGGGGAGGAUGGUAACCUGCUCCCCAGGCCUGUGGCACCCCACCAGCUCAGGCUCCAUGGCACAGUGACACCUUCCAGCAGAAGCUUCACCUCCAGAGCCGUGAGGUGGGAGCUGCAGCUGAGCACCUUGAGCACCAGAGUCCUGCCAGUGGGAUGGGUUCCUUGUGAACAUUGAUCAUGGUGGUUUUCAUGCUAACCCUUCCAGGCCUACAGUUCAAACGGAAUAGAAAAGCCACUUUCAUCCUUCAGUCA